rnacentral:rRNA from 1 species
GAUGAACGCUGGCGGCGUGCCUAAUACAUGCAAGUCGAGCGAACAGACGAGGAGCUUGCUCCUCUGACGUUAGCGGCGGACGGGUGAGUAACACGUGGAUAACCUACCUAUAAGACUGGGAUAACUUCGGGAAACCGGAGCUAAUAUCGGAUAAUAUAUUGAACCGCAUGGUUCAAUAGUGAAAGACGGUUUUGCUGUCACUUAUAGAUGGAUCCGCGCCGCAUUAGCUAGUUGGUAAGGUAACGGCUUACCAAGGCAACGAUGCGUAGCCGACCUGAGAGGGUGAUCGGCCCCACUGGAACUGAGACACGCUCCAGUUUCCUACGGGAGUCAGCAGUAGGGAAUCUUCCGCAAUGGGCGAAAGCCUGACGGAGCAACGCCGCGUGAGUGAUGAAGGUCUUCGGAUCGUAAAACUCUGCUAUUAGGGAAGAACAAAUGUGUAAGUAACUAUGCACGUCUUGACGGUACCUAAUCAGAAAGCCACGGCUAACUACGUG